rnacentral:rRNA from 1 species
UACGUAGGGUGCAAGCGUUAAUCGGAAUUACUGGGCGUAAAGCGUGCGCAGGCGGCUUUGCAAGACAGAUGUGAAAUCCCCGGGCUUAACCUGGGAACUGCAUUUGUGACUGCAUGGCUAGAGUGCGGCAGAGGGGGAUGGAAUUCCGCGUGUAGCAGUGAAAUGCGUAGAUAUGCGGAGGAACACCGAUGGCGAAGGCAAUUCCCUGGGCCUGCACUGACGCUCAUGCACGAAAGCGUGGGGAGCAAACAGG